rnacentral:rRNA from 1 species
GACGAACGCUGGCGGCGUGCUUAACACAUGCAAGUCGAACGGACAGGCCCUGCUCUUGUGGGGUGCUCGAGUGGCGAACGGGUGAGUAAAACGUGAGUAAACUGCCCUUGACUUUGGGAUAACUUCUGGAAACUGGGGCUAAUACCGGAUAGAAGCUCCUGCUGCAUGGUGGGGGUUGGAAAGUUUCGGCGGUUGGGGAUGGACUGGCGGGUUAUCCGCUUGUUGGUGGGGUAGUGGAGUACCAGGGCUUUGAAGGGUAGCCGGCCUGGGAGGUGGACCGGCGUCAUGACGACUGAGAGAGGCACCAGACGCGAACGGGAGGCAGUGGGGGAGAGUAUGACGCAACGAGGCGAAGUCAGAUGUGGCAGUGCUGCGAGCGUGAUACCGUCCUACGGGGUGUAAACCGCUGUCUACUGUGACGAAGAGUUCGUGACGGUAAUGGGUAAAGAAGCACCGGCUAACUACGUG